rnacentral:lncRNA from 1 species
AUGUGUGGCAGAGAGACACACACUCCACACACUCAGAAGAAGUCUCUGGACCGCAAGGAAGUGAUAACUGGGCUCAUGACAUGGAAGGAUUUUGAUUCGAUUACCGCGAAGUGUCUGUCCAACCAGCCUGCUCCCCCCGGUGACUGUGCCCUGCGCAGGUCUGUGGACUACAGCACAGAUAUACUUCCACUCACUGCGCCUCCUCCUCUUCUCACCGGCCCUUCUAAUGACGUACCACCUCUAAUGGACAAAGCGUGUGAAGGCUCAGGCGUCCAACUAACGCCAGAGAUAAUCAGAGCAGUGUUCUUGUCUGGGGAAGCUCUGGUCUCCAAUGUCAACCUCAGCAGAGGAACGGCAGUCAGGCACCAGAGGGAGCUUCAGAUGGAGGCGACCUACAGGUCUGACUUCAACCAGAUGGGAAAAAGAGUGAUGAAAAGGUUGAAGCAACUCGGAGUCGCCGACAGAACUUCACCAGGGAAAGACUUUGAAUAGACACGUACGCUCUGUGCACACUCAUGUGAAGAAGCACAAUCGCAGGAAAACAAAUAACAUUCCCGUCCUACUCACCUAUACAACACUCCACAUUGUUUGCCCUGCCACUUCUGUAAAAUAAAACCUGGUUACUUUCUCGCCCACGUAUAAGCCUCCCUCCCACCUACUCAAAAUUACCAGUAAGCUCUCCUCCUUUGCUCUUACAAAGCCUGGGAAUUCGUUAUCCCUCCGCCCACACAGAUCCAUAUAUAAGCACAGCUACAGUAUAUUCUAACAAGCUCCAUCCCGUUACUGCAUUCAGUUAAAAAUGAUCAUUGUGCAUUUCUAUGCUGUAGUUUAUGUCGUUAUAUUGUCUGUAUGAUGUCAGUGGGCAACACAACACCAUUAAACUGCAUCAUACUGCCAACAACAGUGGCACUUGAUCUUUGAACACU